rnacentral:rRNA from 1 species
AGAACGAACGCUGGCGGCAUGCCUAAUACAUGCAAGUCGAACGAACUCUUCGGAGUUAGUGGCGCACGGGUGCGUAACGCGUGGGAAUCUGCCCCUUGGUUCGGAAUAACAGUUGGAAACGACUGCUAAUACCGGAUGAUGACGAAAGUCCAAAGAUUUAUCGCCAAGGGAUGAGCCCGCGUAGGAUUAGCUAGUUGGUGAGGUAAAGGCUCACCAAGGCGACGAUCCUUAGCUGGUCUGAGAGGAUGAUCAGCCACACUGGGACUGAGACACGGCCCAGACCUCCGUACGGGAGGCAAGCGAGGUAGGGGAAUAGUUGGACAAGUGGGACGAAAGCCUGGAUCCAGCAAUCGCCGCGUGAGUGAGUAGGAAGGUCCGUUAGGGUUA